rnacentral:rRNA from 1 species
CCUACGGGAGGCUGCAGUGAGGAAUAUUGGUCAAUGGCCGAGAGGCUGAACCAGCCAAGUCGCGUGAGGGAAGAAUGUCCUAUGGAUUGUAAACCUCUUUUGUCAGGGAGCAAAGUCACCCACGUGUGGGUGUUGGAGAGUACCUGAAGAAAAAGCAUCGGCUAACUCCGUGCCAGCAGCCGCGGUAAUACGGGGGAUGCGAGCGUUAUCCGGAUUUAUUGGGUUUAAAGGGUGCGUAGGCGGGUUAUUAAGUCAGCGGUAAAAUCGUGGAGCUCAACUGCAUCCAGCCGUUGAAACUGAUGAUCUUGAGUGGGCGAGAAGUGUGCGGAAUGCGUGGUGUAGCGGUGAAAUGCAUAGAUAUCACGCAGAACUCCGAUUGCGAAGGCAGCAUACCGGCGCCCGACUGAAGCUGAAGCACGAAAGCGUGGGUAGCGAACAGGAUUAGAUACCCCUGUAGUC